rnacentral:rRNA from 1 species
CGCUGACUGAGGCCGGCCGAUAUCAGUAUAGCUUAGUUGGUGGGGUAAAGGCUCACCAAGGCGACGAUCUGUAGCGGGUCUGAGAGGAUGAUCCGCCACACUGGAACUGAGACACGGUCCAGACUCCUACGGGAGGCAGCAGUGGGGAAUUUUUGGACAAUGGGCGCAAGCCUGAUCCAGCCAUGCCGCGUGAGUGAAGAAGGCCUUCGGGUUGUAAAGCUCUUUCAGCCGGGAAGAAAACGCAUGGGUUAAUACCCUGUGUGGAUGACGGUACCGGAAUAAGAAGCACCGGCUAACUACGUG